GGUGAACGCUGGCGGCGUGCCUAAGACAUGCAAGUCGAGCGGGGCAGGUUUAUACCUGUUCAGCGGCGGACGGGUGAGUAACGCGUGGGUGACCUACCCGGAAGAGGCGGACAACCUGGGGAAACCCAGGCUAAUCCGCCAUGUGGUCCUGUCCUGUGGGGCAGGACUAAAGGGUGGAUAGCCCGCUUCCGGAUGGGCCCGCGUCCCAUCAGCUAGUUGGUGGGGUAAAGGCCCACCAAGGCGACGACGGGUAGCCGGUCUGAGAGGAUGGCCGGCC
rnacentral:rRNA from 1 species